GGGCAACGGCGAGAAUAGAGCUGUGGGGUCACCCCUCCAGCGGAUGCCCGAGCAGCGGGGGCCUUGACUGCAAGGGGGUCCGGUGGCUUUACUGGCCACCGGUGGUUGCUGCCUGCGGAAAGAGAGAAGACGGGAAGGAUACAGGACCUCGGCACAGACAACAGAAGAUCAAGUGAUCUCGGGGGGGAAGUAUGCAUACGUUUCUCGUGAAAUCUGGCUAAGAACAAGGAACAAAGCUGAGAAAUUCUCACCAUAUCCCAUUAAUUGAUUGCAUUAGAUCUUUUGGCCACAGCACCACACUGGGGACCUCAUGUUCACCUGACUAUCUACCAGGACCCCCAAAUCGUUUUCAGAGUCACUGUUCUGCAGGAUAGAGUCCCCCAUCCUGUCCGAGGAGUUUGAAACUAGUCUCCUAGGGUCGGACAAUAACAAUGAGUGCUUCAGUGAUUCUUCUGCCUCUUCCAAGAGUCAAGUGAGCGGGAGCUCAGAAUCUGGGGGCAAGCGGGCUAUUCGCAGACCACUGACUGGCUGGAAAUGAGAGGAAUAAAAACCAAUAUUAAUAAAUCCUCAGAGAAGAAAGGAGAAUCGCCUUCCAGGGGGAAGAGGAAAUCUGAGCGAGAGGAUGAUGAAGAUUAUGAAGAGUUUUCCAGAAAGAAGCAGAAAGUUCCUGCAAGGAAAAAGCAACGAGCUGGGGUGCAACAAAAUCCCAAAUCCAAAGGGCGUUAUAUGCGAAAAGAGCCACCAACAUAUGCAGCAGGCAGUGUGGAGGAACAGUGGUACCUGGAGAUCCUAAAUAAGGGCAGAGUUACCUGUCCAACAUGCAGAGCUGUUGUCAGGAAGACUGUAGAGGGGCUGAAGAAACAUAUGGCCAAUUGCAGACAGGAAAUGUUCACAUGUCAUCACUGUGGAAAACAGCUCAGGUCUUUGGCAGGAAUGAAAUACCACAUCAUGGCAGAUCACAACAACCUGCCAGUUGUGAAGGAGGGAGGUGAAUUAGAUGAGCAGUGUGAACGAGACCGCCUCCGGAAGGUGCUGAAGCGAAUGGGAAAGCUAAAGUGUAUGAGGGAGGGGUGUACAGGCAGCUUCACCAGCAUAAUGGGAUACCUGUACCAUAUGAAAAAGUGUGGGAAGGAGGCCUCUGAGUUGGAGAAAAUGGCCAUGAAAUGUCGUCACUGUGGGAAAGCAUACAAGUCAAAGGCAGGGCUUGUUUAUCACCUUAGGUCUGAGCAUGGGCCGGUCACUUUCCUCCAUGAAGAAGGGAGGCCUGAGAGUCUGAAGGAAAUGACCCUGGAGCCCAGUAAUGCAGGCAGAGUCCAGAGAAAAUCUGCUAAGGUGGCAGUCUAUUACCUUCACGAGCUAGCUAAUGAAGAGCUGGCCAAGGAGUGGCCUAAGAAGAAGGUUCUACAGGACCUCGUCCCAGAUGAUCGGAAGCUGAAAUACACCCGGCCUGGACUGCCCACAUUUAGUCAGGAUGUGUUGUGCAAGUGGAAAUCGGAGAUAAAGAUGUACCGAAGGGUCCACUGUCCAAACCAGACAGACAAAGCACCUACAAGAUCUUUAUCAAGCUUCUUAAAACUACAAUACCCACCUGGGGAAGUGAGGAAACAGAUUGACAGAGUGAGAUGCGUACUCCAAAGUCACCUACUACAGGACAGGCCCAACAAGGAAAAUAACAGAACACCACUGGCCUUCACGUACAGCCCCCAGCUAAAACCUCUCCAGCAUAUCAUCAACGAUCUACAACCUAUCCUAGAAAAUGAUCCCUCACUCCUGCAGACCUUGGGAGGCAGGCCAGUCCUCGCUUACAGACAGCCCCCUAACCUGAAGCAAAUACUCACCAGCAACUAUACACCACACCACAGAAACACUAACCCAGGAACCAAUCCCUGUAACAAACCCUGAUGCCUUCUCUGUCCCCAUAUCUACUCUAGUGACACCAUCAGAGGAUCCAACCACAUCAGCCAGAUCAUCAGGGGCUCGUUCACCUGCACAUCUACCAAUGUGAUAUAUACCAUCAUGUGCCAGCAUUGACCCUCUGCCAUGUACACUGGCCAAACUGGACAGUCUACACAAAAGAAUAAAUGGACACACAUCAGACAUCAGGAAUGGUAACAUACAAAAGCCAGUAGGAGAACACCUCAAGCUCCCUGGACAUUCAAUAACAGAUUUAAAAGUAGCCACCCUUCAACAAAAAAACUUCAAAAACAGACUUCAAAGAGAAACUGCAGAGCUACAAUUCAUUUACAAACUUAACACCAUUAAUUUGGUCUUGAACAGGGACUGGGAGUGGCUGGCUCACUACAAAAGCAAUAUUCCCUCUCUUGGUAUGGACACCUCCUCAUCAAUUAUGGGGAGUAGACCACAUCCACCCUGACUGAAUUGGCCUUGCCAACACUGGUUCUCCGCUUGUAAGGUACUCCCUUCUCUUCAUGUGCCAGUAUAUUUAUGCCUGUAUCUGUAAUUGUCACUCCAUGCAUCUGAAGAAGUGGGUUUUUUUACCCACAAAAGCUUAUGUCCAAAUCUGUUAGUCUUUAAGGUGCCACCAGACUCCCCAUUCCCAAAAGGCUCCCUAGUUUCCAAUAAAUCUAAACCCCUCCCCCCUACACCAUCCUCUUAUCCACGCAUUGAGACCCUGCAGUUCUGCCUGUCUAACUGGCCCUGUGCGAGGAACUGGAAGCAUCUCAGAGAAUGGCUCCCAAGGAGGUCCUGGACUUCAAUCUGUUACCUAGCAGCCUAAAUUUGGCCUCCAGGAGGUCUCUCCUAUCUUCCCUAUGUCAUUGGUACCUUCACGUACCACGACCACCGGCUCCUCCCUAGCACUACACAAAAGUCUGUCUAGAUGUCUAGAGAGAUCUAUCUACAACCUUCACACCAGGCAGGCAAGUCACCAUGCGGUUCUCCCGGUCAUCACAAACCCAGCUAUCUGUAUUUCUAAUGAUCAAAUCCCCCAUUACUAAUACCUGUCUCUUCCUAAUAACUGGAGUUCCCUCCCCCGGAGAGGUCUCCUCAGUGCGAGAGGAUACCACAUCAUCAUCUGGAAGGAGGGUCCCAACUAUGGGAUUGUUUCCCUCUGGUCCAGUUGGAUGUUUUCCUUCCCUGAGACUUUCAUCCUCCUCAACAGCACAGAGGCUGUCAAACUUGGGGUGGGACCAUUCUACUGUGUCCCAGAAAGUCUCCUCUGUGUCUCCCUUUAGCUCCUCCGGUUCAGCCACUCUGCUCCCUGAAGCCUGUACACAGUCUCUGAGGGCCAGGAGCUCCUUGCACCGAAUGCAUGCAUAUGACACCUGCCCAUAGGGUAGGUAAUCAUACAUGCUGCAUUGUGUGCAAUAAACUGGGUAGCCCCCACUCUGCUGCUGGACUUCUGCCUGUGUAACACACGCCUCUUGGGUGUGGUGCUCCGUCCCAUCUAGUGGCACUGAGCCCUGGUCUACACUAGGACUUUAGGUCGAAUUUAGCAGCGUUAAAUCGAUUUAAACCUGCACCCGUCCACACAAUGAAGCCCUUUAUUUCGACUUAAAGGGCUCUUAAAAUCGAUUUCCUUACUCCACCCCUGACAAGUGGAUUAGCGCUUAAAUCGACGUUGCCGGCUCGAAUUUGGGGUACUGUGGACACAAUUCGAUGGUAUUGGCCUCCGGGAGCUAUCCCAGAGUGCUCCAUUCUGACCGCUCUGGACAGCGCUCUCAACUCAGAUGCACUGGCCAGGUAGACAGGAAAAGAACCGCUAACUUUUGAAUCUCAUUUCCUGUUUGGCCAGUGUGGCAAGCUGCAGGUGACCAUGCAGAGCUCAUCAGCACAGGUGACCAUGAUGGAGUCCCAGAAUCGCAAAAGAGCUCCAGCAUGGACCGAACGGGAGGUACGGGAUCUGAUCGCUGUUUGGGGAGAGGAAUCCGUGCUAUCAGAACUCCGUUCCAGUUUUCGAAAUGCCAAAACCUUUCUGAAAAUCUCCCAGGGCAUGAAGGACAGAGGCCAUAACAGGGACCCGAAGCAGUGCCGCGUGAAACUGAAGGAGCUGAGGCAAGCCUACCAGAAAACCAGAGAGGCGAACAGCCGCUCUGGGUCAGAGCCCCAAACAUGCCGCUUCUAUGAUGAGCUGCAUGCCAUUUUAGGGGGUUCAGCCACCACUACCCCAGCCAUGUUGUUUGACUCCUUCAAUGGAGAUGGAGGCAAUACGGAAGUAGGUUUUGGGGACGAAGAAGAUGAUGAUGAGGAGGUUGUAGAUAGCUCACAGCAAGCAAGCGGAGAAACCGGUUUUCCCGACAGCCAGGAACUGUUUCUCACCCUAGACCUGGAGCCAGUACCCCCCGAACCCACCCAAGGCUGCCUCCUGGACUCAGCAGGCGGAGAAACAGGACCUCUGCUGCAUGUGUUUCAAUGAUCACAGGAUCUUCUCCUUCCCAGAGGCUAGUGAAGCUUAGAAAGAAAAAAAACCGCACUCACGAUGAAAUGUUCUCCGAGCUCAUGCUGUCCUCCCACACUGACAGAGCACAGACGAAUGCGUGGAGGCAAAUAAUGUCAGAGUGCAGGAAAGCACAAAAUGACCAGGAGGAGAGGUGGAGGGCUGAAGAGAGUAAGUGGCGGGCUGAAGAGAGUAAGUGGUGGGCUGAAGACAGGGCUGAAGCUCAAAGGUGGCGGCAGCGUGAUGAGAGGAGGCAGGAUUCAAUGCUGAGGCUGCUGCAGGACCAAACCAGUAUGCUCCAGUGUAUGGUUGAGCUGCAGCAAAGGCAGCUGGAGCACAGACUGCCACUGCAGCCCCUCUGUAACCAACCGCCCUCCUCCCCAAGUUCCAUAGCCUCCACACCCAGACGCCCAAGAACGCGGUGGGGGGGCCUCCGGCCAA